rnacentral:rRNA from 1 species
CGGACGGGUGAGUAACGCGUGGGUAACCUGCCUUAUACAGGGGGGUAACAGUCAGAAAUGACUGCUAAUACCGCAUAAGCGCACAGGACCGCAUGGUCCGGUGUGAAAAACUCCGGUGGUAUAAGAUGGACCCGCGUUGGAUUAGCUUGUUGGUGGGGCAACGGCUCACCAAGGCGACGAUCCAUAGCCGGCCUGAGAGGGUGAACGGCCACAUUGGGACUGAGACACGGCCCAG